rnacentral:rRNA from 1 species
AAACUUUCAACAAUGGAUCUCUUGGUCUCGCAUCGAUGAAGAACGCAGCGAAAUGCGAUAAGUAAUAUGAAUUGCAGAAUUCCGUGAAUCAUCAAAUUUUUGAACGCAAAUUGCACUUCUUGGUAUUCCGAGGAGUACACAUGCUUGAGGGUCAGU